AAACCCCUCAAUCUAAGUUUAGGUUUGCGAUUAAGUUAGGUUCUUGGUUUUUUUUUUUUUUGCGUGAUCUAAAUGUUUCUUGAAUGCUGGUAAACUAUCCGAAGUAGAUGGAACCGAGAAUCUUGUAUGGAAUAAAUCCUAUUUUCUUGUGUCUGUUUUCUACCUAAAAUGGUUUCAAGUUAUUUUUUUCCCCUUCUCUUUCUAUCGUAACUGCUUGAUUGCCUGCUAUUUUAAGGUAAUGCCUAAAAGGAUUGAAGAAAGGUCGAAUUUUUUCAAGCUUAUCUUGUUUGUUUAGGUUUGUGAUGAAGUUACGUUCUUACUACCUUUAUUACGUGAUUGUGAGCCAAAUGUUUCUUGAACGCCAGUAAACUAUCUGAACUGAUCUCUGGUUUCUACGUUUAAUGAACGCUUUUGGGAAUUUUUGUUGGUGCUUCCAAGAUAAUUGCUUGAUUGCUUUGAGUUUUUAGAUAAUGUUUGAAAUGAUCCAAGAAAGGCUGAAUCUUUUGAUAUUUUUUGAUAUUGGUUUAAUGUUGCGAAGAAGUUAAUUCUUGCUAAGUUUUUUCUUGCAUGAUUGUGAUUUAGAUGAUCCUUGAAUGCUGGGAGACUAUUGGAAGCGAAUUAACCCAAAAGUCUUUAAUGGAAUCUUACUAUAUUCGUAUCUGAUUGGUAAAGUCCUACAGUGAACGGUUUCAAGAAUUCUUUUUCUCCACUUUUUGUUAGGUAACUGCUUGAUUACCAUGAACUUUAAGGUAAUGUUUGAAACAAUCCAAGGAAGGCUGAAUGUGUUUGGACUUUUUGAUGUUCCUUUAGUUUUUUCGCUGAAGUUGGAUUCUUCUGUUUUUUUUUUCUUUCAUGACUGUGAUUUAGAUAUUUCUUGAAUGCUUUCAACUAUCCGAACUGAAUCAAACCAAGAAGCUUUAAUGAAACGAGCAUUAUGUGAUGUCUGAUUUCUAAACUUUAGGUUUUCAAUAUUACACUUUUCAUGUUGAUUUCUACUUUCAGUAAAUGGUUUUAAGAUUUUUCCCUUUUUUUGUUAGAUAGCUGCUUGAUUGCUGUGACUCUUCAGGCACUGCUUGAAACGAUACAUGAAAGGAUUCACAACUUUUGAUUGUUCACUCAGUUUUGUGAUGAAGUAUGUUCAAAGCAAUCCAAAAGAGGCUGCAUCUUUUUAUAUUUCCUGAGUCCUGGAAAACUAUCACAAUGAAUCAAACCAAGAAUCUUUUAUGGAAAAUGUACUGGUGGCUAUGUGAUUGGUGUAACUUUCCACAUUUGAUUUGAUCCUACAUGUCUAGCUCUUUAAUUUAUAACUCUAGUUCUGCCACCUGAAGUUCUUUAAGAUUUCAAUUUCGUGCUGAUCUCAACUUUCAGUUAAGAGCUUUCAGAUUUUUCUUUUUUAAUUUUUAAAACUUUUGUUGUUAUUAGAUAACUGCUUGAUUGCUGUGACUUUUUUUGUUAUGUUUGAAACAAUCCAAGAAAGGCUGAAUCUUCACAAACUCUUCAAUAUUAGAUAUUCUAUGAAGUUAAUUUCUUGCAAACUUUCUGAACUGGAUUAAACCAGAAUCUCUUAUAGAAAUAGUUCUACUGGGUGUGUGAUCAGUAGAGUUUACUAUCCAAAUUUGAUAAGAUCCUAUGUGCCUAGCUUCUUAAAUUAUAACUUAGGUUUCACCAUUUGAAGGUUUUCAAGAUUAAUAUUGCAUGGUUGUAUCUGAUGCCAAUGGUGGACUCCAAUAUAUCAAAAAGAGAGAGAACUCCCACAUAAAAAAGAAAUUUAGGGCCAACCGGUUCGUACUGGUUCGGUUCGGUCCGAACUGGUACUGAACUGUACCGGGCGCCGACCAGUAUGGCACCUGGUACCGGUUCGGCGAUCCUUGGUAUUAUCUCUUAUGAUCAAAUCAUUGUGCAGAGUCUAUUGAUCAAUAACUUACAUUCAGCACCUACUUCGAUCUUUCAUUUUGCUAGUGCUGAAACGUAAUUUGUUUAAUUAUUUUUUAAAAAAAUUUAUUUGCCUGCUAUUAUUAUAUAGAUAGAAUAUGUUAUGGAGUGCCUGAAAAGGCUUUCAUCGUUGGAGAGGCCCUUCACAGGAUAGACGAAUAUAGGAUUAAACGUUAACUUCAAGUUAUGAUCUACAUUUCUGAUGUCUCCCAAUACAUAAGAUGAUAACUUUGCUCCUCUUAGAAGUGACUGUUUUAUUAUAGUUUCAUCAAUCUGUGUACAAAUUAUACCUAGAAGAUAGAUGAGACAGUGGAAAUUUCUCAUAACAUAGCAUCUAUUUUCUUGUAUACAUUAUCUAGGAUGUCAUAUGCUAACCUAAUUUGUUUGUGUAGUCUUUACUCUUUGGUCUAUGCUUAUUUUGUAAUAAAUAAGAAAUGGGAGACAAUUUGUUUAUGUUCAUAAUUGUUUACACUUAUCUCUGAUUUAUGUGCUUAUUCUUUAAAUAUGAAGUGGUAGACAAUUUUGUUCAUGUCUAUGAAACUCACCUUCUCUUUGGAUUUGUCCUUUUUUUUCAUUGAUUAUUGCUUUCUUGCACCUUGUAGUUGUUUGUUGCAUAUACUAUGAAUUCAAUGGUCCCUAAUCCUCUGCUUGGAUAUCUAUAUGUAGAAGGUUUUUUAUUUUCUGUUGUUUAGCUUACCUAAUACAUUCUGUUCUUUUUUUUAUCUCAGUUAUUAUCAAAGAGUAAGGCAUUAUCCUAUUAAAAAGCCCUAUCAGGCCUUUGGGAUAUUCUGAUCAACCAGCUUGUCGUAUUUGGACCACCCAAUCAUCUUCUAUAUAAAUGACAGAUGGUUUAGAUCACCUCAUAGGCUUGGUUUAGAUUAUCGCAUCGGCUUCCUUCGGAUAUUCACUCUGUUUUGUACUGAUCAUAUAGACUUAUGAUAAAUGGAAAUCAAGUAAAGAUUCAUGAUAAUAUAAUUCCCUGAUCACCAGUAUUUCCUGCUUUCUUUUUAUUUAAGAUUGAUUGUUCAGUGAUUUGAUUCUUGACCAUAAUCCUUGGGGCAAAUAGUGUGGAAUUUUCAGCUGGUUUACGUUGGUUUUUAAAGUAUUGGUAUCUCGCACAUGUAUCUCGGGAGAAAACUGGUUGUGUACAGUUAUCAUGAAUGCCCAAACCAGGGGCCCUUCCCUAUGUUUCUAGGCCUAUUCCAUGGGCUUACUACCAGAAUGCUGGUACAUCCUGGUGUAAGCUACUGUACUUUCUGUUUUGUGAAUUUUGUGUUCCUUAUAUGCAGUUAUUCUUCCAGUCUUCCAAUAGAUCUAGAUGUUUUCACCUUUUUUUAGUGUAGAGAAAAGAACCUCCAUAUCUACAUCACCACAUCUUAUUCAUCUGCAUAAGUUUUUGUGGUUUCACAUAUUAGCGAAUUUAUUUCUGCAAUACAUAUGUCAUGAUGUAAUAGAUGUAUCCCCUGUUUUGCCACAUGUUGUUCGUCUGCAUAAGUCUUUUCUUUUCCUAUGGCUGUCCGAGGCCAUGUAACCAUUAUUAGAUAAUAAGUCCUCAGUUUAGCUUGUACAAUACAUUUUCUUUUUUCUUCUACUCUUUGUUGAGGUCCACAUUAGCUAUAGAUAAUAUUGCAAUUUGCUUGGAGUAGCAAUGCAACAAAGGUUAUAAAAAGUUAUAUAAUGUUUUGUAGCACAAUAAAUUUAGGACAAGCGGUGCAACAAGUUCAUGGCACCUACACUAUAGUCCUCUAAGAAGAUGUUAUGUACUUUUGGAUUUUUGGGGGCCAAUGAUGAAAGUCUGCAGCAGCUUCUUUUUGGAGUUUGAUAACUUGACCCUCUUUCCUCAAAAAAGAAAUUGCAUCAGUAGGGCGUUCUGUAACUGUUUGUUGUAUGCUUAUACCCCAAGGUUCGCCAAAUCGAUACUGGGACCUAUACCGGUCGGUGGCCGGUUCGGUACUGUAUGAACACACAGUACGCAAUGGUGUGCUGGUUCUGAAUCGGCACACCAUUUUUUUUAAUAUUUUUUAAGUUUGAAUUAAUGGUAUUUUUUUUAAUUUUUUCAAUGAUCUUAAGUAUAAUUUGAUAUUUCUUUAUGCUUUUUAAUGUUUAUGUGAUGUUUCUCCUCUCCUCCUCCUCCUCCUCUCUUCUUCCUCCUCCUGCUUCUUCUCCUCCUCCUCCU